GCAGCUGCUCCACCAUAUUAAACUCGCUUUUCUUGAUCAAACGAAGUACCUCAUCAUCAUCAUUAGCCUUCAAAUUGCUGGAUUCACAAGACUGACACCUUGAAGUACUAGUUGGAUCUACAACAUGCACUUCCACCUUCUUACUGACAGUUGAUUCUUCCUUAUCUUUUGGGAACACCGGCCCAAACACUCAACCACUAUGGGUCACCUUAGUAACAUCAUCAAUGCUCACUACAGAGCUGGUCGUAG
rnacentral:lncRNA from 1 species